rnacentral:rRNA from 1 species
AGAGUUUGAUCAUGGCUCAGGGUGAACGCUGGCGGCGUGCUUGACACAUGCAAGUCGAACGGUAUGUGGCAACACAUAGAGUGGCGAACGGGUGAGUAACACGUGGGAACGUAUCUUUUGCAGGGGGAUAACUGACCGAAAGGACAGCUAAUACCGCAUAAGUCCGAGAGGAGAAAGGUGCAACAGCAUCGGCAGAAGAGCGGCCCGCGGUCCAUCAGCUAGUUGGUGAGGUAAGGGCUUACCAAGGCGACGACGGAUAGCCGGCGUGAGAGCGUGGCCGGCCACAAGGACACUGAGAUACGGGUCCUACUCCUACGGGAGGCAGCAGUGCGGAAUUUUAGAUAAUGGAGGGAACUCUGAUCUAGCGACGCCGCGUGCAGGAAGAAGGUCUUCGGAUUGUAAACUGCUGUGGUAAGGGAAAAAUGCUAUGUAGAGUGGAAAGCUACAUAGAGGGAUGGUACCUUACUAGAAAGCCCCGGCUAACUACGUGCCAGCAGCCGCGGUAAUACGUAGGGGGCGAGCGUUACCCGGAAUCACUGGGCGUAAAGGGAGCGUAGGUGGCCUAACAUGUCAACUGUGAAAACCCGGAGCUCAACUCCGGACUUGCAGUUGAAACUGGUAGGCUUGAGGACGGUAGAGGAAGACGGAACUGCCAGUGUAGGGGUAAAAUCCUUAGAUAUUGGCAGGAACGCCGGUGACGAACUGGUUUUCUGGGCCGGUUCUGACACUGAUGCUCGAAAGCCAGGGGAGCGAACGGGAUUAGAUACCCCGGUAGUCCUGGCCCUAAACGAUGUUCACUAUGUGUGGGGAGCGGAAAGCUCUCCGUGCUAAAGCUAACGCGAUAAGUGAACCGCCUGGGGAGUACGCCCGCAAGGGUGAAACUCAAAGGAAUUGACGG